GCACUGCUGAUGAGUCCCAAAAAGCACGAAACAGCUGUCCAGUGC
rnacentral:hammerhead_ribozyme from 1 species